AACGAACGCUGGCGGCAGGCUUAACACAUGCAAGCCGAACGGGCGUAGCAAUACGUCAGUGGCAGACGGGUGAGUAACACGUGGGAACCUUCCUCGUUGUACGGAACAACUCAGGGAAACUUGAGCUAAUACCGUAUACGUCCGAGAGGAGAAAGAUUUAUCGCAAUGAGACGGGCCCGCGUCGGAUUAGGUAGUUGGUGGGGUAACGGCCUACCAAGCCGACGAUCCGUAGCUGAUCUGAGAGGAUGAUCAGCCACACUGGGACUGAGACACGGCCCAGACUCCUACGGGAGGCAGCAGUGGGGAAUCUUGGACAAUGGGCGCAAGCCUGAUCCAGCCAUGCCGCGUGAGUGAAGAAGGCCUUAGGGUUGUAAAGCUCUUUUACCAGGGACGAUAAUGACGGUACCUGGAGAAUAAGCCCCGGCAAACUUCGUGCCAGCCGCCGCGGUAACAC
rnacentral:rRNA from 1 species